UUACGGGAGGCAGCAGUGGGGAAUAUUGGACAAUGGGCGCAAGCCUGAUCCAGCAAUGCCGCGUGGGUGAAGAAGGUCUUCGGAUUGUAAAGCCCUUUCGGCGGGGACGAUGAUGACGGUACCCGCAGAAGAAGCCCCGGCUAACUUCGUGCCAGCAGCCGCGGUAAUACGAAGGGGGCUAGCGUUGCUCGGAAUUACUGGGCGUAAAGGGCGCGUAGGCGGCGCUGCAAGUCAGGCGUGAAAUUCCUGGGCUUAACCUGGGGGCUGCGCUUGAGACUGUGGUGCUAGAGGUCAGAAGAGGGUCGUGGAAUUCCCAGUGUAGAGGUGAAAUUCGUAGAUAUUGGGAAGAACACCGGUGGCGAAGGCGGCGACCUGGUCUGAUACUGACGCUGAGGCGCGACAGCGUGGGGAGCAAACAGGAUUAGAUACCCCGGUAGC
rnacentral:rRNA from 1 species